rnacentral:siRNA from 1 species
ACAAUUGUCUCAUGGAUUCGUGGU